CACACCGCCCGUCACAUCAUGAAAGCCGGUUGUACCCGAAGUCCAUGUAGGAACCGCAAGGGCCUAGUGCCGAAGGUAUGGCUGGUGAUUGGGAUG
rnacentral:rRNA from 1 species